GCGCACCCUCCAUUUUGUAGAACGCUAGAGCAGCUAAGUGCGUCAGUUGUGGAGAGACAUAGACGAGUUGAGUCCUGGUCUGUGGGGAGGCAGACGGCUCCGUCGCAGACUACGGACCUCUCUUGGGUCUCUGCAGCCAAAGAUCCUGUCCGGGAAUAAUUAGCCGGGCAUCAUGAGUGGCUGUCGAGUAUUCAUCGGGAGGCUAAAUCCGUCAGCCAGGGAAAAAGAUGUGGAAAGAUUCUUCAAGGGAUAUGGGCGAAUAAGAGAUAUCGAUCUGAAAAGAGGCUUUGGUUUUGUGGAAUUUGAGGAUCCUAGGGAUGCAGAUGAUGCUGUAUAUGAACUUGAUGGAAAAGAACUGUGCAGUGAAAGGGUUACUAUUGAACAUGCUCGGGCUCGAUCUCGUGGUGGAAGAGGUCGAGGACGCUAUUCUGACCGUUUUAGCAGUCGCAGACCUCGAAAUGAUAGACGAAAUGCUCCACCUGUAAGAACAGAAAAUCGGCUUAUAGUUGAGAAUUUAUCUUCAAGAGUCAGCUGGCAGCCUAUCUGUGUCGUUGGCCUUAUGACGAGGAGUGCCUGUGGGUUAUCCUAAUCGUUGUCUUGGUCACUCUUGGUUGGGCCUGGUUGACUUUGCCAGUCAGCUCCUACAGUGAUCAGUUGGCCACCUCUAGAUCUGUGUUUGCCGGUCUAGACGUAAUCGGGGCACUUACUGAAGUGCCAGGUCGCAGCGAUCCCAGAGCGCUGAUAACGUGAUCUGAUUCCUAAGUUGAGAGCUGUCCACGUGUAACGCUUCCGAAUAAGAGGUCCUGACCGAAAAGAGUUGAAAGAUACGAAAUUAGUUGGUCGUUGGAAUCCUGUUCGCAUAAAGUGGUCCUUGGUAACUGCACAAGAGUAGAACCUGUCUGCAUCCGCCAAUAGUCUGCUAAUAGGGAGGGAUGUGCGAUUAAAGGCUUCCAUCGAUUGGGUAGUAUCCUUCGAGUGGGUGGCGAAGAGCCAGUCGGGCAUAUGUCAUGGAGGUUUCUUCGACCGAUUAACGGUUUGCUGCUUGACUAGCCUAGGGAAAUAAUAAUAAAGGUAAAGUAAACUUUUUUAAUGACAUAUGGGGCACAAAAUAACGUGUCUUGUAAAUAUUCUGUUUUUAAAUAUAAAGUUCCUACUUUAGUCUUUACUUUUAAAAUAUGUACUGUUUCUUUUUGUUUGUUCUUUUUGUUUUGUUUUUUGUUUGUUUGUUUUCCUUUUGUAUUGAGCUCAGUAUAGACUAAUACUACUUAAUGUUAAAAUCUGAAUUUCCUGUAGCAUUUUGCUUAAAAGCAAUAUGCUCUUUGCUUAUUUCGUGCCCUGACCUAGAUUAAUUUUUGAAUUCUGAUAGAAUACAAGUGUGGUAAAUGCCAUGUUUGUACUUUAUCUAACAUCUUCCCUUUCAGUAGUCUUGUUUUUAUGCUAUGUUGUUUGUGUGUCCUGUUUCCACUUCUCUGCUUAACACAGUUGUCUUGCGUUAAGGAUCUCAAAGAUUUUAUGAGGCAAGCUGGAGAAGUAACCUUUGCAGAUGCACAUCGACCUAAAUUAAAUGAAGGGGUGGUUGAGUUUGCCUCUUAUGGUGACUUAAAGAAUGCUAUUGAAAAACUUUCUGGAAAGGAAAUAAAUGGGAGAAAAAUCAAAUUAAUCGAAGGCAGCAAAAGGCAUAGUAGGUCACGAAGCAGGUCCCGUUCCCGGAGCAGGAGUUCCUCUAGGUCUCGUAGCCGGUCUCGUUCUCGGAGUCGCAAGUCUUACAGUCGCUCUAGGAGCAGGAGUCGGAGCCGGAGCCGGAGCAAGUCCCGUUCUGUUAGUAGGUCCCCCGCACCUGAGAAGAGCCAGAAACGUGGUUCUUCAAGUAGAUCUAAGUCUCCAGCUUCUGUGGAUCGCCAGAGGUCCAGGUCCAGGUCCCGAUCCAGGUCCAGAUCCAGAUCCAGAUCCAGAUCAGUUGACAGUGGCAAUUAAACUGUAAAUAACUUGCCCGGGGGCCUUUUUAAAAAACAAAAACAAAUUCCCAAAGCAUACUUGCUAAAAAUUCUGGUAAGUAUGUGCUUUUCUGUGGGGGUGGGAUUUGGAGGGGGGUUGGGUUGGGCUGGAUAUAUUUGUAGAUGUGGACCACCAAGGGGCUGUUGAAAACUAAUUGUAUUAAAUGUCUUUUGAUAAGCCUUCUGCUCACAUUUUUGUGAAUGUCUGAAGUAUAUAGUUUGUGUAUAUUGACGGAGCUCUUUUAUAAUUAAAGCAAGUUUAAUUUUUUUGUACUAGAAAAAAUUUUGAACAUUUUAGUUCUUGGUUAUUCAAAUAUGUUAAUUCAGAAUUAGUUUAAUGUGUCAAUUAAACUAAUUAAUAGCUUUGGACACUUAAAAGAGCUCUAAAUUUGCUUGUACAUAAAGGCUUAAUUUGAGUUUUUCUUGUUAGGGUCAAGGGUGUCCUCUCACCCAUCCUUUAACAGCUGCCCAGCAAGGACAUUAAAGCAGCUGUUUGUUAUUGAUAAUAAAAGAUUAUAAAACUGA